rnacentral:rRNA from 1 species
GACGAACGCUGGCGGCGUGCUUAACACAUGCAAGUCGAACGGAAAGGCCUCGUUCGGGGGGUACUCGCGUGGCGAACGGGUGAGUAACACGUACGUAACCUGCCCUUGACUUUGGGAUAACUUCAGGAAACUGGGGCUAAUACCGGAUAGGAGCUCCUGCUGCAUGGAGGGUGUUGGAAAGUUUCGGCGGUUGGGGGUGGACUCGCGGCUUAUCAGCUUGGUGGUGGGGUGUUGGCUUACCAAGGCGUUAUCGGGUAGCCGGACUGAGAGGGUGACCGGCCACAUUGGGACUGAGAUACGGCCCAGACUCCUACGGGAGGGAGCAGUGGGGAAUAUUGCCCAAUGGGUGGAAGCCUGAUGCAGCAACGCCGUGUGCGGGAUGACGGCCUUCGGGUUGUAAACCGCUUUCGCUCAUGACGAAGCUUUGUGUGACGGUAGUUGGUAAAGAAGCAACGGCUAACUACGUG